rnacentral:sRNA from 1 species
UUGGUUUUUUUUUUUAAGGUAGUACUGAAAUAUACUGUCCCAGGCUACAGGAAUUCUCUGGAAUUUUUUACUAUGCUUGCUCAGAGAAGAGGUAUGCACCAAAAAGGUGGAAUCCCAAAUGUUGAAGGUGCUGCCAAACUGCUGUGGUCUGAGUGGACAGGGUAAGCUUUCUUUUCUGUUGGCAUUUUGGUGACCACUAGAAUAAACCUUCUUUUGACACAUCUUAUUUUUAAUAUCAGUGCCUCAUUAGCUUACUAUUGCCAUCCCCCUACAUCUUGGACUCCUCCUCCAUAUUUUAAUGAGAGUGUUGUGGUAGACAUGAAAAGCGGCUUCAAUCUGGAAGAACUGGAAAAGAACAAUGCACAGAGCAUAAGAGCCAUCAAGGGCCCUCAUUUGGCCAAUAGCAUCCUUUUCCAGUCUUCCGGUCUGACAAAUGGAAUAAUAGAAGAAAAGGACAUACAUGAAGAAUUGCCAAAACGGAAAGAAAGGAAGCAGGAGGAGAGGGAGGAUGACAAAGACAGUGA